GACGAACGCUGGCGGCGUGCUUAACACAUGCAAGUCGAACGGAAAGGACCUGCUUUUGUGGGGUGCUCGAGUGGCGAACGGGUGAGUAACACGUGAGUAACCUGCCCUUGACUUUGGGAUAACUUCAGGAAACUGGGGCUAAUACCGGAUAGGAGCUCCUGCUGCAUGGUGGGGGUUGGAAAGUUUCGGCGGUUGGGGAUGGACUCGCGGCUUAUCAGCUUGUUGGUGGGGUAGUGGCUUACCAAGGCUUUGACGGGUAGCCGGCCUGAGAGGGUGACCGGCCACAUUGGGACUGAGAUACGGCCCAGACUCCUACGGGAGGCAGCAGUGGGGAAUAUUGCACAAUGGGCGGAAGCCUGAUGCAGCAACGCCGCGUGCGGGAUGACGGCCUUCGGGUUGUAAACCGCUUUCGCCUGUGACGAAGCGUGAGUGACGGUAAUGGGUAAAGAAGCACCGGCUAACUACGU
rnacentral:rRNA from 1 species